GUGCUUGCUUCAGCAGGACAUAUACUAAAAAAUUGGAGAAAUACAGAGAAGAUUAGCAUGGCCCCUGCACAAGGAUGACACAUUCAUGAAGCAGUUUAUAUUUUG
ensembl:snRNA U6 U6 spliceosomal RNA